rnacentral:rRNA from 1 species
CCUACGGGAGACAGCAGUGGGGAAUAUUGGACAAUGGGGGGAACCCUGAUCCAGCCAUGCCGCGUGUGUGAAGAAGGCCCUCGGGUUGUAAAGCACUUUCAGUGAGGAAGAACGCCUGGUGGUUAAUACCCAUCAGGAAAGACAUCACUCACAGAAGAAGCACCGGCUAACUCCGUGCCAGCAGCCGCGGUAAUACGGAGGGUGCGAGCGUUAAUCGGAAUUACUGGGCGUAAAGCGCGCGUAGGUGGCUUGAUAAGCCGGUUGUGAAAGCCCCGGGCUCAACCUGGGAACGGCAUCCGGAACUGUCAAGCUAGAGUGCAGGAGAGGAAGGUAGAAUUCCCGGUGUAGCGGUGAAAUGCGUAGAGAUCGGGAGGAAUACCAGUGGCGAAGGAGGCCUUCUGGACUGACACUGACACUGAGGUGCGAAAGCGUGGGUAGCAAACAGGAUUAGAUACCCGUGUAGUC